rnacentral:lncRNA from 1 species
GAGAGAGUAGAUAGAAUGUUGGACGGGACAAUUGGGUGUUUCAGUAAGGAUGAGAGCACCAAGUUCUAAAGUAGGUUAGCUUAGAAGGGGGCCUUUAUUGUCUCAUCGCCUUCAUCGUGGUGACAUGAUAAAAGAGAGAGAGAGGGAAUGGAUUCAUAGGGAGAGCUCCAAUUCAACUAUGCAUUGGAGUAGAUACGGAGUAGAUACGUUUGUAGUGCCUCGAGGUUCCCUAGUGCUUCCUUAGCUUUCUCUAUUGCCUCCUUCACCUUAAAUUUAUGGUGCUGAGAUGAGAGAGGAGAGAAGAGAUGAGGUAAGGAAGGAAGGAGGAGGUGAAAGAGGAGAUAGGAUAAAUAGAGAGGAGGUAGAUACGAAGAGAGGAGGAAUGAGGGGAGACAUAGGUGGAGUGGUAAAAUUCGUAUCAAAGAAUCAAAUUUUUUUAAAAUUAUUUGAUUAGAAUAAGAGGG